rnacentral:rRNA from 1 species
GGCUCACCAAGGCGACGAUCCCUAGCUGGUCUGAGAGGAUGAUCAGCCACACUGGAACUGAGACACGGUCCAGACUCCUACGGGAGGCAGCAGUGGGGAAUAUUGCACAAUGGGCGCAAGCCUGAUGCAGCCAUGCCGCGUGUGUGAAGAAGGCCUUCGGGUUGUAAAGCACUUUCAGUCGUGAGGAAGGUGGUAGUGUUAAUAGCACUAUCAUUUGACGUUAGCGACAGAAGAAGCACCGGCUAACUCCGUGCCAGCAGCCGCGGUAAUACGGAGGGUGCGAGCGUUAAUCGGAAUUACUGGGCGUAAAGCGCAUGCAGGUGGUUUGUUAAGUCAGAUGUGAAAGCCCGGGGCUCAACCUCGGAAUAGCAUUUGAAACUGGCAGACUAGAGUACUGUAGA